UAUUUCCGCUUUUGUCUCUGUGUCUCUCUCGCUCUAUAUCUCUCCCAAAAGACUGCGUAAAGCUAGUGGCCUAUAAACUUUGCCAAACAAAAAAAAAGGAAAAAAAAUUUUAUGGCGACUGAUGUUUAGAUGAAUCCAGUCGAGUAGUAAUUUCCAUUAGCGUCUGCUUCUGUCAGUGUUGAUGGUGUCUCAUCCGUUGGCAUGUUACUGCCACGGCCGUACUCCAUCUAUGACGAUGCCGACUCGGCUGAUCGUCAACACAUAACAUAUCGGCCAUAGAAGAGUAGCAUAGCCAUUUCUUGCCUCUCUUAAGACAUAGACCAAGCAUAAAAUAAUACAGCUACUGUAAAUCAGUGCCGACGUCCCAGAAUCUCGACGAAACGCGUUCGCUUUCAAAACUGUGAGCAGGAAGGAGGUUAUUGCUAUAAGGAUGUGGGGGUGGCGAGCGCGGGCGGGACUAUAUAUUUCCUCGCCAUGCUCCUGCUGCACAGCAGAACACAAGAGCACACACACACUUCUCGGGGGCAUUGCAUUGGAAUAUUUUAGAGGAAAAUCUACUGCCGCCGAGACAGAGGUUCUCCCAACUGUCUCCAAAGGUCCAAAAGGAAAGAAAAAAGGAGAAGCUGCUACAAACAAAUCGCGGCGGGCCAAAGUCCUGUGACUGCUGCCAACGCAACGCAUUACGGCGCUAGCCCCGCGCCGUGAAACAGCAACAGCAGCAGCAGCGGUAUGUGCCACUGUGCCUUGCUGUCCUCCCACCAUGGCAUAGCCAAACUAUGGCUGUGUGUGGCGUGCGAUCGAUGGCUUCUUUCUCCCGACAAAAUAUUGACCCCCACAGCGUCGACAUUGUCGCCCCAUAAAUUAGACUUGAUAAGGGUUUCGCAUGCCAUGAACUAGAUUCCUCAGACUCGCUUCUUGCAUACGUAUUACGUUCCACGCAGCGUGCAGCAGUCGUGUGGCGCGGGCGCAUUAUAAAUAUCGCGGCCUCUCUUCCCUGGCUCCGAGUCCUCUGACUAGUUGCCCCAGUGUCGCAUUGAGGUUAAUGCCAAGGCGCGGCUUGUUUUUUGUUUUUUUCUUUUCUGGCGCUGAAUCAAAGUCGACCGACGAUAUUCCCCCACGCUCUGCCAGUUGAAUUUCCCUUUUUUUUUAUUUGCCUUUCUUGAUUGCUCUCUGGUGAUUUCUUUUUUUGAUGCGGACAACAUAAUAAACGACUAAAUUGGCAUUCGGAAGUUAGCGAAAGACUUGGGCAAGUAGCACUAGUAGUAGUCCCUCAUUUCCGCCUGUUAUUCAAACUCGCAAGGAAUUCUCCCAGUUGGUUACGUACCCCCAAUUGAUGAGGCCCUCAAAGCCGGGCGUAAUUUGAAUUUAGCUGUUUUUUUUAAAGCAACCAGCGACGAGGAAUUGGGCAAAAGGGAAGGAAAAGUUGGCGCACUUCUUUUUAUUUGAGCGUUCGUUAGUGGAAUCUUUGAACUGCUUCCCAUCCAAAAAGUUGUCCUCUUUGUAGUACCCAAUGAGGUAGGCACACGGCUACAUAUUGAUUAUUUUCUAUUGUGUUUCUAAAUCUACGAAAUUAGAAAAGAGAGAGAGAGAGAGAAAAAAGAUACACCCAGGAUCGAAGAGAAGUAUUCUUUUCACGUCGUCAUCACGAUCCAUAAUUUGACUUCGCAGUGACCUAUUUAUUCACUAUUUUUAGACCCGGUUGCUAUAGCGAUAAGCGAGAAAAACAGAAUUAUAUCGUUAGAAAUAAGAUCAGGUUGCAACAUCCGAAAAAAAAGAUGCGAAACAGGAUACCGACAUUUAAAAAAAAUCAGAAAAAGGAAAACAGACGGGGGACGCAACAGUAAAAGAAAAAUUGCCACUUUACGACACGACAGUCACCUCUUUCUUCCAACCGAUCAGCGAGCGCAAACAGGAAGUGUGUCUGCGAUGGCUUGUGUUACGUGUAUCGGUUUUCCAAGAAAGAAAAGAAGAAGAAGAAGAAAAAGAGAAAAAUCGCUGCCAAGGCGCUGCUGGAUCAAAUGAAGCUGCCAGCGGCAGCCGAACAGGAUUUUGACUGGCACACUGUAAACGCUAUAGAGUCAUGCACACGCCAUGUGGCAUGAAAAAGUCGACGUUCAAAUACUGAACUUUCAGCCCAAGGAAAACUCAAACGAAUGGGACCCUACGCUCCUGAACAAGACACCUGGUGAAACGGAGAGAACUUUCGUAUAUAGUCGGUCGCAUAUUGAUCAAACGAGAACGCGCUGGAUAUACUGUAGCUGAUGCAUGUGCGAUUGCACAGAGUUUCUCUGUGCACCGCUAUAGCACGAGAAGACACAUUUUCUGCAUAAUAAAUCAGGGACGUGGAAAAAAGGAGCUGAGAAAGGAGCCCGGGGAUGAUCACGAAAACGUCAACAAAACAAGCACUAAAGUUGCCAAAAAAGUUUUCUUUUCUUUAUUAUUAUUAUUAUAUUCCGUUGCCCGAUUCCCAUUGCGCCGCUGUUGUUUACUGUGGCGUGAAAAAAAAAGAGAAACAGCAUUAAUAAUU